UCCUUCAGGUACUGGCAGGCCGCUAGAAGGUCACACAGGAGCGUUUCUCUUCUCCAGGCGGAAGAGCACCAACUCUCUCAGCCUGUCCUUGCAGGGGAGAUGUUCCAUCCUCUGAUCAUCUUCCUGUCCCUCCUCUGGUCCUGCUCCAACAGCUCCAUGUCCUUCUUGUGCUGGGGAUCCCAGAACUGGACACAGUGAUCCAGGUGGGGUUGCACGAGAGCAGAGUAGAGGGGCAGAAUCACCUCCCUUGACCUGCUGGUCACGCUUCUCUUGAUGCAACCCAGGAUAGCAUUGGCCUUCUGGGCUGCAAGUGCACAUUGCUGCUCAUGAAGAGUCUCUCAUCAACCAGCACUCCCAAAUUCUUCUCAGGGCUGCUCUCAGCCCAUUCUCCACCCCACCUGUAUCUGUGCUUGGGAUUGCCCCAAACCACGUGCAGGACUUUGCUCUUGUCUUGGUUGCACUUCAUGAGGUUGGCAUGGGCCCGCAUCUCCCUGCCUGUCCAGCUCCCUCUGGAUGCCAUCCCAUCCCUCUAGCGGAUCAGCUGCACCACUCCGCUUGGUGUCAUCUGCAAACUUGCUGAGGGUGCACUUGAUCUCCUUGCCCAUGUCACCCACAAAGAUGUUAAAUAGCACCAGUGCCAGCACCAGUCCCUGAGGGAUGCCACUUGUCACCAGUCUCCACUUGGACAUUGAGCUGUUGACUGCAAAUCUCUGAAUGUGUCUGUCCAGCCAGUUCCUGUUCCAGAGUGGUCUGUCCAUCAAAUUCAUUUUUCUCCAAUUUGGCAACCAGUAUGUCAUGUGGGAGUGUGUCAAGUCCUUUGGACAAGUCCAGGUAGAUGAUGUCCGUUGCUCUUCAUUUAUCUACUGACACGGUAACUCCAUCAGAAAAGGCCACCAAGUUUCUCAGGCAUGACUUCCCCUGGGGAAGCCACAUUGCUUACCACCAAUCACUUCCUCUUUAUAUUCCGUGUGCCUCAGUACGGCCUUCAGGAGGAUCUGUUCCAUGCUCUUGACAGGCACAGAGGUGAGACUGAGUGGCCUGUAGGUCCCUACAUCUUCUUUUCUUUCCUUCUUGAGAAUGGGGCUCAUGUUUCCCCUUUUUCCAGCCACUGGGAUCUUCACCACACUAUCAUGGCCCCAGAAAUAUGGUGCAUAGCAGUUAGACUCAGAACCUGUGGAUGGAUCUCAUUGGGUCCCAUACUCUUGUGCAUCUUCAUGUUGUAUCGAUGGUCUCGAACCUGAUCUUCACACACUGUGGGCAGAUCUUAUUUCUCCCAGUUCUCACCUUUGCUUUCCCCAGCUUGGACCAUGCAGAUGCAGGCCAGGCUGGUGAAGACUGGCAUAAUGCCUAUAUUACAGUAGAGACAUAUCUCUCACUUCACAGUAACCCUUAUUUCAUGACAGUGCUUUCGGGCAGUAUCUACAUUUGUGAAUGACUGUUUGCAAGGAUGAAGUUCAGGAAGAGUAAAAGUUCAUCAAAAACCUCUGAUGCAGACAUUGAGACCAAAAUAACACUAGCAACCGCUACCACCAAACCAGCCUGAUGCAUUAGUUUCACCAAAAAGAAGAUCAAGUAUUCGACAAGUUUCAUCCUUUUGUUAAUCUUUUUUACAAUUUUUACGAAAGAUAUUAAGCCAUCCCCUUUUUCAUGUCAUUGCUUUUGGGCCGUACAACUAAUCCACAAGUUCCAUGUGUCUGUCAAUCUUUUUUUUUUAAAAGACUGAAGAUAAAUAUUAAACAAUGAAGCAUUUUCUAACUUACAGAAUGAGGAUAAUGUAUAUUCCAUGAGGGCUGCUCUGAAAGUAAUGCCUCCCAUUUCAUUGUGCUGGCCCAUGAUGGCCGAGACAGAUCUUGGUGGUAUGGCAGCACAGGCUGAAACAUCCCAACAAUGUCCCACUGAGUUUUGAUACCACGUGAUGGAUGGCAGCAGAGGGGCAGUCUGACAAAAUGGCAUCUGACAUGGUAGUACGAGUGAAGCAAUGGUGCGUCAUUGAAUUCCUCCAUGCAGAAAAAAUUGGGCCCACUGCCAUUCCCCGGUGCUUGCUGAACGUUUCUGGAGACCAAACAGUGGCUGUGAGCACCAUGAGGUGGUGUGUGGUGUGUUUUAGCAGGGGCAACAGAGGGUCACCUUCACUGGAGCAGAUUACUAUGGGUGCAGCAUGCAGGCUCUUGUUCACAGAUGGUGAAAAUGCCUAGCGAUGGUGGGGAAUACAUUGAAAAAAACGCAUUACGUGGAUGUGAAUCUGCUCUGUCAAACACUCUCAUUGUGCUCUUUGUAUACGUUGAAGAUUCCAUGGAAAAUAAAUAGGAGGCAUUAUUUUCGGAGCUACA
rnacentral:lncRNA from 1 species